UUCACGAGAAUCACUUGAAACCAUAGUUUGUUGCAAUGCUGUUUUGCGUAAUAUUUUGCUGUUGCAUAAUGUUCCUAUAUUUUGUAUAUACAUACAUGUAUUAUAAUGUUAAUGUGUAAUAACUUACAAACUUAAAGUUAACUAUACUUUGAUGCUAAAUAUAUUAUUUUUCUAGACCAGAAUACAUGUAACAAUAUACUCGCGCAUUGUUACUGUAAGAGUACGAUUAAAUUAUUUUGUUUGGGCCACGAUAUAGGCAGCCUGGAUUAAAAGUAUUCGUAUAAUAUGAACGUGAAAAUUGGGAAGACUGUGUUCUUUAUGUUAAUAAUUACAUUGAUAUACAGAUGAUCGCACGUUAUACAUCAAUGUUAACAGUAAUAAAUAUAACAAAAUAAAAGAGUUAACUGCGGUACUUCGUAACAUAUGACAAUCGAAAAUU